CAGCCCUUGACAUCCUGUGAACGGUCCAGAGAUGAGGGGGUGCCUUCGGGAGCCGAGUGACAGGUGCUGCAUGGCUGUCGUCAGCUCGUGCCGUGAGAUGUUGGGUUAAGUCCCGUAACGAGCGCAACCCUUGUCCCUAGUUGCCAGCGGUUCGGCCGGGAACUCUAGGGAGACUGCCGGUGAUAAACCGGAGGAAGGUGGGGAUGACGUCAAGUCAUCAUGGCCCUUAUGGGCUGGGCUUCACACGUGCUACAAUGGCAGGUACAAAGGGCGGCGACUUAGCGAUAAGGAGCGAAUCCCGAAAAGCCUGUCUCAGUCCGGAUCGGAGUCUGCAACUCGACUCCGUGAAGUUGGAAUCGCUAGUAAUCGUGGAUCAGCAUGCCACGGUGAA
rnacentral:rRNA from 1 species